GGGGAAUUGUUCGCAAUGGGCGCAAGCCUGACGACGCAACGCCGCGUGGAGGAUGAAGAUCUUCGGGUCGUAAACUCCUGUCGAGCGGGACGAAUGCCUUGCCGGUGAAUAUCCGGCGAGGGUGACGGUACCGCUAAAGGAAGCCCCGGCUAACUCCGUGCCAGCAGCCGCGGUAAUACGGAGGGUGCAAGCGUUAUCCGGAUUCACUGGGUUUAAAGGGUGCGUAGGUGGGCAGAUAAGUCAGUGGUGAAAUCUCUGGGCUUAACCCGGAAACUGCCAUUGAUACUAUUUGUCUUGAAUUCUCUGGAGGUAAGCGGAAUAUGUCAUGUAGCGGUGAAAUGCUUAGAUAUGACAUAGAACACCCAUUGCGAAGGCAGCUUACUACGGAGACAUUGACACUGAGGCACGAAAGCGUGGGGAUCAAA
rnacentral:rRNA from 1 species